rnacentral:lncRNA from 1 species
UCUUUCAACUUCUCAUUAUCAAGUGUUUUAUAUGGAGUUUGAUGGUCAUGGUGGACUGGAGGCAUCACUUUGCAUGAAGCAGAAUGAUAGAGCCAAGGUAUGAUAUUAUUGAUGAACGUAGAACGAUUACAAUCACCGUGAUUGAGCCCAAACCCAAGAGCAACCUCUUGAGAUCCUUUUACAAACCAAAUCCAAGCCAGGUUCACAACGAAGAAGAAGACUUCCUUUUACAGACUCGAUCUUGACUCUAACGGCCAAACC